rnacentral:rRNA from 1 species
CGCGUAGGCGGUUUGUUAAGUCAGCUGUGAAAGCCCUGGGCUCAACCUGGGAACUGCAGUUGAUACUGGCCGACUAGAGUACGAGAGAGGGAGUAGAAUUCCACGUGUAGCGGUGAAAUGCGUAGAUAUGUGGAGGAAUACCAGUGGCGAAGGCGGCCUCCUGGCUCGAUACUGACGCUGAGGUGCGAAAGCGUGGGAGCAAACA